UCUGAGGGAGAACAACAUGCAUACAACAAUAUGCAUCUUAGUAAAAGCUGUGCGCCUGCCUGUGGGACACAGGUGCACUGACACCUGCAGCAGGUUAGUUUCUUUUUUCAUUUCCAUUGGUUUGUUCAUUCAUGCUCCCUGUCCUCAUUGCUCUCUCUCUCUCUCAUUCUCUGAGAGUCUCUAAUUUGGGACCCUCUCUCUCCCAGAUAUCAGCAGGUGGCUCAAAUCUCCUGCUCUUUCACCUAAUAGUUCAGUUACUGUCAGACAGAGAUGGUGUGUCACAGAAACAGUGUAGAAAUAAUAAUAAACAGUUAAAGUGGACAUUAAUAUAUUUGUUAUAGUCAACCAGGUUCUGGCUGUCAGCAUGUACAGUAUGUGAGCUGUGCACUCAUCUAUCAAGUCCUGAUUCAGCUCAUCGUUGGCCUAUCAGCCUUCCCUCAUGGAGGGUUAGUCAAUUACCCGCUGUAAUUCAAAUAAUCACUUUCACUACCAUGCUCUCUCUCACACACACAGUUUCCUCUGCCUUUCUCUCAGUCUUGAUCUUUCCUCAGUUCUCCAGAGGUAAUUGAGAAUGGGCAAUUAAGCACUCUGAGGCAUGUGCUGCGUGGGAAAUAGGGGGAAGAGCAAUAUUUUGCCCUCUAAUUUAUUACAAGCUGUCAUUGUAACGACUACUCUGAUGUCUCUGUGUGUGAGAAGGAGAUACGCUGUGAGAUGGACAACUUGGCACAGUCCCUUUUAACAAGCAUCUAUACCUUCUACACUCCUUCUCUUCUGAACUAAAAAAAGCUCUUGUAGUCCUCGCUUUUAUGUAUAUUCCCUGAAACAGGUGUGCUCUAUUGCUGGUUGAUCAAAGGGAAUUAUAACAGUGAGCUACAGUAUAAGGACAGCUGUGGACAUGGAAAUUUAUAUAUUCUGAAGCCACAUUGCCAUAGAUGAGAAAUCCAGGGAUCUGUACUGUAUCUACAAAAAUUGUACCAGUCAACAGUCUGGAUCAUUUUUGUCUCAAAAAUAAAAGCUGGAUAUACCAGUAAAACUGUGGAUCAAAAAAGGCAAGAUCAGGCAAAUUCAAGUCAUUUCUCUUAAACUGAUUGAUUGAGGUAAAUCAUUUAGGUAAUAUUUGUAUCCUCAUGUUUAUUUGCUCUUUCUUCCCACUGCCAGUAGGGCCCUCCUCAUUUUCUUUAUCAAAGCACCCGUGAUCUAAGUCUGGAUUCUCUGGAUAGUGAGAGGGGGAGGGAGAGUUAGAGGGACAACAAGGUGUCCCUGCUGACAAAGAUGCAUUAAGACAGGGAUGAGUCACACAAUCUGCUGAGAACAUCUCACUGCCAGCGAAGGGGGUUCCUCUGUACCUCUAGAUUCUCCCUCACUGCAGUCAGCCACCUCCCUCCCUCCUCUCCCUCUCUGAGGCGGUGCUACAACACUACACCAGAUCAGGAUUCCAGUCGCAUUUGAAAGCUGAUUGGCAUAAAAAUACCCCUAAGUCAUUCAAUUUGUCUGGGAUGUAUUGUUAAUUCAUCUAUAUGAUCUCUGACUCACCUGUACAGUACCUGUAGCUCUCUGCUCUCUGAUCUGUUCUUUAUUAACACAAUAAAUGUCUGCUGUAGCAAACAACAAAAUCUAAAUAUUAUAAAUCUACUGCUAGUGUUAUCUUAUUCCUAUGAAGACUAUUAGCAGAGAUUAAUGAAAUUAUUUUACAGGUAACAGUAAUCAAAGUGGUGUUUCUAAUAAUGUUACAAAGACACAUAUUUAGCAAUUGUUUUCUAUUCUCAGACAUGCAGAAUGCUCAGCCCACGCUAGCACCUUCACUUCCAAUCCUCUUCCUCCAAUUCGGUUACCAAGCUACUGUAAUUUGUCAGCUACAUUACACUUCUUUUUAGUAUCUGAACAACUUUACUACUGUUUAUUCAUGAUAAAAUACUUGUUUUAAUGUACAGUGUUUUACCCAAAUUGUGGUUGUUGAACAAUAUGAGUCUGAUGCCAUGAACAUGUAGACAAUGCUUAAUGGCGCAGUGUUUUAUGGUACGCCCCCACAGUGAAAGCCUGCCAGAGCAACUUGCUCACCUUCAGAUCAGACAAAAAACACUGCCGAAAAACCAAAGGAGGGUAUUCCUGUGAGCCACCAAAUGUGCAUGUACAAAAAAGAAAUUUACCUAAGAAAGUGUUGGAGAUGAAUUCGGAAACCUGAUUCCCAGACCGACUCAUCUCCGAUAGAAUACCAGAUGAUCCACAGCCUUGAUACAGAAGAAUGGUCCAACCAACUAACAGGCCUUGGCCGUUCUACCUUCGUCAGCCGUCAGCAGCACUGAGGACAGUUUACUGUUACGUCCUCUGCACUUCACCUUGGAGGUACCGCAGCAGCUUCUCCUCCAGUUUCACCUCCGUCAUACUCAUGUGUCAUACUCGGUAGCAUCCUAAAUAAUAGUUUCUCCACCCUAAAUACAAUUGGUAGUGAGGGGUCACAUUAGCUGAUGUCAGUAAAACCACGUCGGAUGUAAUGUGCCACAUAUUACAUACAGUAUUCAUAAUACCGGCAGUGGGAUCGUAUAGAUAUGAGUGGGAUUAACCCUCGUUGUGGAUGUCACAGCUACAUGGACCCAAACAGACACAGACUGCAGACUAGACAGGCAUGUUUGAUGGAGGACUUAUCAGUAUCUUAUACACACAAAGUUACGUGUCAGGACACAUUUAUCCACCUGCCAAAGUCACGUCAGUAUAAAAGGCUGUGCUCAUUGUGCUUGCUGAUAAGAUGCAUUCAGUCACGUCUGCCCUCUUUUUUAUUCUCCAACAGAAAUGUAACUAGAAUUUUUUAGUCCCUGAUUGUACAUUUGUUAACAUUCUCACAGUGUUGGCCAUUAAGUAAAGGAAGUUAUCCAUACAUGA